rnacentral:rRNA from 1 species
AUUGAACGCUGGCGGCAGGCCUAACACAUGCAAGUCGAGCGAGCGGCGGCCGGGUGAGUAAUGUAUGGGGACUGCCCGAUAGAGGGGGAUAACUACUGGAAACGGUAGCUAAUACCGCAUAUUAUCGGAUUACCCAUAGUGGAUUAGCGAGUCGGUAAGGUAAUGGCUCACCUAGGCGACGAUCCAGAGCUGGGCUGAGAGGAUGAUCAGCCACACUGGGACUGAGACACGGCCCAGACUCCUACGGAGGCAGCAGUGGGGAAUAUUGCACAAUGGGCGAAAGCCUGAUGCAGCCACGCCGCGUGUAUGAAGAAGGCCCUAGGGUUGUAAAGUACUUUCAGUCGGGAGGCGUUACCGACAGAAGAAGCACCGGCUAACUCCGUGCCAGCAGCCGCGGUAAUUC